UUGGAGGGCAAGYCUGGUGCCAGCAGCCGCGGUAAUUCCAGCUCCAAUAGCGUAUAUUAAAGUUGUUGCAGUUAAAAAGCUCGUAGUUGAACUUCGGGGUUCACCCAUUGGUCAGGCUUAAUUGUCUGUACUGGUGAGAUGAGUCUCUACCUUCUGAGGAACUUUCAUGCCAUUUAUUUGGUGUGGUUGGAAAUCAGGACUGUUACUUUGAAAAAAUUAGAGUGUUUAAAGCAGGCUAACGUCUGAAUACAUUAGCAUGGAAUAAUGAAAUAGGACGGAUUGAUUCUAUUUCGUUGGUUUCUAGGGUCACCGUAAUGAUUAAUAGGGAUAGUUGGGGGCAUUAGUAUUCAAUUGUCAGAGGUGAAAUUCUUGGAUUUAUUGAAGACUAACUACUGCGAAAGCAUUUGCCAAGGAUGUUUUCAUUAAUCAAGAACGAAAGUUAGGGGAUCGAAGACGAUCAGAUACCGUCGUAGUCUUAACCAUAAACUAUGCCGACUAGGGAUCGGACGCAGUUAAUUUUAUAAUGACGUGUUCGGCACCUUACGGGAAACCAAAG
rnacentral:rRNA from 1 species